GUGAGUAACACGUGGGUGAUCUGCCCCAAACUUUGGGAUAAGCCUGGGAAACUGGGUCUAAUACCGAAUAUGACCUAUACUCGCAUGGGUGUUGGUGGAAAGCUCCGGCGGUUUGGGAUGGGCCCGCGGCCUAUCAGCUUGUUGGUGGGGUAAUGGCCUACCAAGGCAACGACGGGUAGCUGGUCUGAGAGGAUGAUCAGCCACACUGGGACUGAGACACGGCCCAGACUCC
rnacentral:rRNA from 1 species